ACCUAGAUCCUAGGAAGGGAACGCUUAUAUCUAUUUCAAUCUCCUAUCUUGUGUCAACCUUUGCGAUAUUGCCUCAUUCUCUGUUAUUAGUUUAGUUUGCCUUUCUACACAAUACAUACACUCAGUUUCGUUAACAAGAUUGGUAUAAAGUGAGAGCCAACAAUCCACUUGUUCCAUGGAUUGAGAAAACCUUGGAGGAAUACUCUAAGAGAAAAGCUACAAUUGAUCCAUGCGCUUGCGAUUCACGAAUUGGCGUGCUAACUACCGUCAACAAGCUAUUCUGGAGCCAUUCCCGGGGAACAAGUCAGUUUGUUGUAUUUGAUCUUUGCAUUGAUUUUGCUAACCCGCUAAUACCUAACUCUUGGGUAGAAUCUUUUUGUUUUUAUUUUUCUUUUUAGUGCCUAGAUGGAUCUGCUCAUCUUGCCAUUAGAAAAUGAAGAAAUGCCACUAAGGGAAUUAGCAAUGGCAUCCUCAGAGGACUUUGAGAUGCAAAAAGCAGAUUUGGAGCUUGCUACGACCCACUAUGAACUGAAUCAUGGAAUCAUCAUGUUGGUGGCGACAAACCCUUUCAGAGGAUUGGAGGAUGACAACCCAUAUAGACACAUGGAGCGAUGCAACAUGGUGCAAUAAGAAGGAGUUCCGACUGCUUGGUUUAAGUGGAAUAUUUUUCCAUACUCUCUUGAAGGUGAAACGCGAAGAUGGUACACACUUGCAUCUAUUGAAGUGAAGGGAAAAUGGUACGCAACCAAGAUGUGACCGGGCAGAUUGACCAAGACGUGACCGGGCAGAUCGUGAAUGGGCAAUCGAGCUCAUGGGAUGCGAAAUCUCGUACAUCCCACAAACCGCGAUCAAUUCACAGGUGCUAGCCAACUUCGUCGCCGAAUGGACCGAGGUCCAGAUCCCAACUGAUCCUCGAGUACAUGAGUGCUGGACCAUGUACUUCGAUGGGUCAGUCCUGAAGGAAGGCGCGGUGCCGAUCUCGCCGCGCGGAAACAGGCUUCGAUAUGCGGUCAGAUUGCACUUCAAAGUGUCGAACAAUGUUGUGGAGUACGAAGGGUUGGUCAAUGGACUCCGGAUAGCUUCUGGACUGAGAGUGCAACGACUCUACAUAUUGGGUGACUCCAAACUGGUCGUCGACCAAGUCAUGAUGGACGCCGCCUACCAAAAUCCGAAGAUGGAGGCAUACUAUCAAGAGGUUAGGAAGCUGGAAGAUAAAUUUGAGGGGCUCAAGCUCCACCACAUCCUCCGAGAGGACAAUUAGGCGGCCGACGGCCUGGCCAAACUCGCAUCAACUAGAAGGCUCACCCCCGAUGGUGUUUUCGUCAACGGUCUCCACGAGCCACCCGUCCGACACGAGCUGACUGACAGGGCAGCGCCUGACGACACCCCGGGAGAAAAGACGCGGGAGCCCACCAUGCCCCUAGCGGAUGACAACAUUCGAACCGCCGCGACCGAAGCAGUGUUCACGGUGGGCGAGGCUGAGCCUGGGGAACCCGACUGGAGGAUCCCCUUCCUCGACUACCUACUACGGGACACGCUCCUUGCCGACAAAGCGGAGGCAAGACGCUUCUCCCGAUGAUCAAAAACCUUUGUAAUAAUUGGAGACAAGCUUUACAAGCGAAGCUCAAGUGGAAUCCGCAUGCGCUGCAUCCCUCGCUGGCAGGGCAGGCGGAUUCUCUGCGACACCCAUGAAGGGGUCUGCGAACACCACACGGCCCCAAGAGCACUCGUUGGCAAAGCUUUCCACCAGGGCUUUUACUGGCCGACUAUCGUGGCUGAUGCCGAACACUUGGUGCGCACCUGCUAAGGGUGUCAAUUCUACGCAAGGCAAACGCACCUCCCAACGCAAGAAUUACAAACGAUCCCCAUGAUGUGGCCUUUCGUGGUCUGGGGGCUCGACAUGAUACGACCUCUUAAGAUAGAACCCGAGGGCUAUGAUCACCUCCUAGUCACAGUCGACAAGUUUACCAAGUGGAUAGAAGCCAAGCCAAUAACAUCGCUCAAGUCAGAACAAGCAGUGAAGUUCAUGCUGGACAUAGUCCAUCGAUUCGGGGUCUCCAUCUGCAUCAUCACCCACAACGGCAGCAACUUCACCAAGAAAAAUUCCUGGAGUUCUGCGACAGCUAUGCCAUUCAGGUCGAUUAGGUGUCCGUAGCCCACCCACGAACCAAUGGCCAGGUAGAGCAGUCCAACGGUAUGAUCUUGCAAGGCCUCAAGUCCCGCAUCUACGACAAGCUUAUGAAAUUCGCAGGACGAUGGGUGGCUGAACUCCCCUCCGUGCUCUGGAGCAUGCGAACCACACCCAAUAGGUUGACGGGCUUCACUCCAUUCUUCAUGACCUAUGGUGUCAAGGCGGUGCUGCUGACUGAGCUAGACGAUGGCUCGCUAAGGGUCCGCGCAUACCAGGAGGAACAAUCCAAGCAGGCGCGCCAAGACAACCUCAACAUGGUAGACAAAGAUCGAGAUGUCACCCUGAUCCGGUCGGCAAAGUACUAACCAAACCUUCAACAGUACCACAGCAGACGCAUCAAAGCGUGUUCCUUCAAUGUCAGCAAUCUCAUCCUCCGAAGGGUGCAAUCCUCCAAGGACAAGCACAAACUAUCGCCACCAUGGGAAGGGCCAUUCAUCGUCGCCGAAGUGCUGCGCCUGGGCGCGUAUCGCCUUAAAUAUGCCGUAGGCAAUACCAUCACCAACGCUUGGAACAUUGAGCAGCUAUGUCGCUUUUACCCCUGAGAUGUACCCAGCUCGAAAUGAAUCACCCGAUGUAAAAACACCCACUACUCCCGACUGAGCGACCCGUGCCAACCUACCAGUCGGUAACCACAGGUCACUUGGGGGCUACCGGAUCUGUGAUAACUCAACCCUUCGAAAAGCAUUGGGUUUACCCCUUCAUAUCAUUUGAAACUUUUUGUUAAGCCCCGAUUUGCACUCAAGAUAACAUGGCCAGGCGCUCAAAAACCAUGAUGGGACGACCCCGGUGUUCAAGGGCCACGGCAAAAAGAUUUUAUCAACUCAGAAAAGGCGAAAACUAGAGUACGACGGAUAAACAGAAAACAACUGAAGGGGUUCACCACAUCAAGUUCACAAAACAAGAAAUAAAACACGCACAAAUUGUUCAUAAACACCCUCGUACGGGCAACAACUGGAUGACAACAAAGGCACAAGUAAUUCUUCUUCACUUCCUUCCUAGUGCGUGCUCCAGCGGGAUCUUCUCAGUCAAAGCCUGGGUGAAGGGGGUCACCUCCGACUCGAUCUGCUGCAGCUCUACCUCGGGGAGAGGGGCAAAACCACCCGCCAAGGCAGCCAGAUGCACGUAAUGGGAAGCAGCCUUGAAGAGUGCCGUAUGCACCCCGAAGAUGUACGCGGAAUAGAUCGCCAACCGAACGCAAUCAGGAAGAUCGGCAAGAUGACCGAGGAUGUCACUACUUCCACUCGAGGGCUGAAGCACCUCGCACACCGCCAUGGCAAUGUUACGAAACUACUCGAGCUCUCCGACCUCCGUUGCAAGGUCUUCGCGCACCCGAUCCCUAUCUGCUAGCAAUGUCGCCGCCACCAUCUGAGCGUCUGCAAGAAAAGAGAGACCCUCAAAAUGAGGAUCAAGAAGAAACCUAUCACGAGAUCAGCGCAUGCAGGGUACUCACAAUGAUCUACGGUGACCCUCUACUGGAGGUCCUGCUCCAAGAGCUCCUUGGCUCGCUCCACCGAUGCACGAUUGGCCUGCUCAUGGUCGCGCACCUCUUCCAACACCUUCACGCGCUGCUCCAAGCGAUCGCACUGAUCCUCCACCGCACGAGUCUUCUCCUCCACCGCAGCAACCAGCCUUGCCCAGUAGAGAGAAGAGUGAAGAUAACAAAAGGAGAACCAAAGUGAUAAAAACAGUCGGCCAAAAGAAGCAGCCAACCUUGGACACGCUAAGCCUCAACCCGAGCAGCGUCCCUCUCCGACCGAAGGACCUGAACCUCCGACAAUGCCUCAUCGCGGGCCGACUGCACCUGGAGGAGAGAUGUCUGCCAAGACACGACAUACUUCUUCGUGUUCUCCACCAAGUCGAACAUCUGCGACUCCGAGUUGAACACAUCCUCCCGGAGCUGUCGGUUCUUGAUGGACAGGUGUUCGAGCUCCUCCCACACUGCAACAAGCCGAGACUCAACUUCCUCAUGACUGUAGCGUUCUUCCCCUGCGGCCCCCGAUGGAAGGACCACGCGACGAAGGAAGACAUACUUGUCUUGGGAACGAGCAAAUAUCCGCUGAAGGCAGUAGAGAGUAAGCGAUUGGUACCUGAGAAAUAGUAGAAAGAGUCAAGGAAGAAGUUACCUCACCACAUGGAAGCAGGUCACUCUGCAGAAGACGGAGAAUGUUCUCCAGUCCCAACUCUACCUGGGACGCGACGCACCUCGACUGCUCCCACUCCCGCUGCUCCGCCUCAUCAUCCAGCUGGAACACCUCCCUAUUCAGGAACUGGCAGUUGGACCACACAACCAGUGUUGCAAUCAGGCGAGUUGAGGAUGAGCCCUCAGAGCCUGCAUCUACAACAGGGCCCAACCACAAUGCCGCCAAGGAUGGCUAAGCAGCCACCACGCCACCUCUAGUCACGGUCCGAUCCGCCGGCUCCUCUUCUUGAUGAAUGACGAAGGGAGAAGAAGUGACCGCUGGCAGGACAAUCGCAGUCGAGGAGGAGGAUGUGCCAUCUGCGUCAUGAAGCAAUGGGAAAAGUGGGAAGUCAACCGCCUCAAUCACCAAUGGAGGAGGAGACGAUGGCGUCUUCAUGGACACCGAACGCUCCAUGGGAGGAGUAGCUGGACCGCCCUCAAGCAGUGGGAUCCGGCGGCUCGAGGAAAUGUCACCAACGGCAACCGCAUUUAGGGAAUCCUCACUCACCAUGAUGUCGGGCUGAGGACCCGACUGCACGACCACCUGCGCUGACUGAACCACAACAGCCUCACCUCGAGGAACAGAGCCAAUGCCUUGGCGGAGAGUCGCCUCACCCGAAGGAGUGUCAGACACAGGUGGAGCUUGCGAGGAGGCGACGAGCGCGGUUGAGAUGGCGGUCUUGCCCCUCUUGGAUAACGGCUAGGCGGGACCCUUGUCACACAAGAAAAGGGAAACUAUUAUGACCCCACCAAACCUGACUCCCCAACAUCAACUAGAAACACAGGAUCGGAUGCUAACCUGGGAAAAAACAUACGCGACAUCCCAAGAAAUCCAGCCGAUGUAGGGAUAGAGCCCUCGGGAGGAGUUGCGGCAUUGAGGAUGGCAUCCACCGGCAGGUCCUCCACGUGCGCCCGCUUCGAGGCAUUAUCGUCGAUCACGAUCCCCGACCCAUACUUCCGGGUGGAGGACUCGGAAGGAAAGUGAGCACCAUCAGCCAUGCCUCCCGGAGGCAACGAUGACUCAUCGUUAGAGGAGAAAUCAGGCUCCUCGGGCUCCUCCUCACCUACGGCGAGGCAUCUGUGUCGGUGUUUAGAACCGGCAACCUAUCAAGGGGGUGCUUGAGGUAGUAUUUUAUGCGUGGGGCUCACUAAGAUCAGGAACUCGAAGGUGAACUCAAACACACGAUUUAGACAGGUUCAUGCGGCUGAAUAGCGUAAUACCCUACGUCUUGUGUGUUGGUUAUAUUGUAUUGGAUUGAACCUGUUUGGAGGGGGUCCCUGCCUUGCCUUAUAUUGCUGGGGGCAAGGUUACAGGUCGGUUGUUUACAAGAAUACUAGUCGGAUUUGACUAGUGUGUCCUACUCUAUUUGCUAUGAGUAGUUUACUAAUCCUCAACUAAUUCUUGUCCUCCACAUAGACCACGUUAUCCUGCAACAUAGUCUCCAUGUAUGACACAUCUUGGUGUACUGCCCCGUAUCUAGCACUGUCCAAACCUUCUGGUGGGUCCAUAGAUUUAUGGACGACAAUCUCUGACGCAACGCCUCAAAGUCGCUCUUCUUCCUCUUCCUCGCGUCCUUCUUCCUUUUGUCUUCCUCCACGACCGCAGCCUUGGCAGCCCGUUUCUCCUAGUCCUCUGGGAGCCACCACUCAGGGGCGAGGUUUAGCAGACCCUGGGGUGAAGAAGAGGCAACGUCAACCACGUGAGAGCAUCGGAAGAAAACAUGGAAGGGGCAAAAGGCCACAAUGAAACCAGGAAAUCCAGUCGGGAGACUCACCAGGUCGGGCCGAUUAUCGGCGUGAAAAGCUGCCGGGUGGCCCACUGGUGCGAUGUCAGCGUUCCCCGACAAGCAAGAUCAGAUGCGAGCACGGACCUCCGAGUCGGCGAGCUCCUCGGACCUCUCCCUUGUCGGGCCUUGAGGACCUGAUUACUCAAACAUGCUGUGGGCCUGUUGCUUCGCGGGUUGGAUACGCCGACUGAAUAAUUCCCAAAGUAGCCCAGAUCCAGUGAUACCUUGUGAGACGCAUUGACGGAAGACCGGAAGAAUGCGAUCCAAUCUCUUCUUGUUAGGAGUCGUCUCGCCCCAUGUCCAGGAGUCCUGAAUAACGGGGAUGCCACCGGUGAACGGGGGGAGACCCAGGGAGGGGUUGCGGACGUAAAAACACUCCCUGUCCACCCUUUGUUGCAGGUGAUGGAGGGAAGGUCAAAGUAGUCCCUCCCCUUCCCGAGUCACAGCCAGAUGCCAGCACCACCGAUGGGAGCGCCGCCCUCGCCACCAAGGUUGGGGAAAGACUCGACGCGCACAUUGAAGAAAUACAACCACAAUAGGAAGUUCGCCUGCACGCCGAGGAAGCACUCGAAGAAGGUAAUGAAGGUGGUGAUGUGGAGCAACCCGUUAGGGUUAAGGUGUUGCAGGUCUAGCUUGUAAUGGUGGAGGAGCGUCUAGAGAAAUGGAUGCUCUGGCAAGCUGAGCUCCCGCUAGUAGAACAGAGCGAAGACCACAGUCUCGCCCAGUUGAGGCUCAGGGAAAGAUUCCCUCUAGGGAAUCCCUUGUUGAUGAGGCCACGGAUCCGGGCAGCGGUGAUCUCCAAGAGGUGCUAGGAACCCAUGGCGCAACAGCUGCGGAGUCAACGACGCGCACGGUGGCAAGGAGCGAGCGGCGUGCGGAUGCGAGACGAGGAAGAAGGGGAGAAGGAACCGAGCCCUAUCGCCCCCAAGACGGCUUAUAAAGAAGGGAGAGAGGAACCGACGGGACACGCAUAGGUGCAACAGGGCCCGCUACUACCGGCGCCGGAGUGAGGAAAGCGGAACCGCCAGCGUAAGGAUGGGGUAGGCCCCAACAGUGUGAAGUCGCGGGGUGACCCUUCAACUUCUGACAGAAGUUGAUGCGAGCGGUGCUAGCGCAUCACAUGGCAGGACGCCACCCUGCCAAAGGGUUGUUAGCCCAUUGGGCCAAAGGAACGAAAGAAACCGCCAGCCCACGAAACAGGCGCAUGGAUCAAAGGCCGGCCCCACAAGGGGCUCCGAGGCCACCACAUGCCAGGAGAGCGAAGGGUAGUAAGGGAUAGGCCUCAGGAUGGCCUAAAUGAGUCGGGACAGCCCCCGACUGAAGGAAAUCCUUGACUGCGUUCGAAAGCCACGGUUACGACUCCACCCACGGGCUGACCCCAUGAGGGGAGGACAGCGAUGUCCCUUGAGUCGGUUGAAUGACUUGGGAGCCAAAAUAGGAAGGGGACCGAGGCGGCGUGAGAUGCUCCAAGAAGAGCCAAUCUAGGGUUCCUAUCGAGCGAAAACUAGAUCUCGCCUGGACAAACCUGUUGAGGCUCGAAAUGAGCACAGCUUGCAACCAUCGAGGAAUUUGUCGUUUGAGCUCAAAAAAACCUACCCCCACCGAGGGGAGCACGGGUCGAUCAAGAAACAAAAUGAGGGGUAAAACCCGAAUCAUCCACAUAAUGAAAAAUAAAGACACCUAAAAAAUACAUCCACUUCAUCAAAGACCGAUGCCAUUUACCAAACAUGGUUGCCGCCGCCCGUUAGGAUGACAAGGCAGGAAAACAGGUGCUGGUGCUACAACUGCGGCGGAAUGAGGUAGCAAAGCUCCUCGCCGACCUUUUGCUAGCAUCAGUAGCCUGCCAAAAAGGGCCGGGGAAGCUCGUUUCGAACAGGCUCGAAAGGAAGCCUUUACCCUAGCCACUGCAAAGGGGGCUGAUCGAAGGCUAGGAGGAGAGCUGGGAUAAGGGCCCAUCGCUCAACCGGGCCCCCGGUGGGAAGCGCCGGAUGAAGAUGGGGAGCCAUCUGCAAUGGUACCCAGACGAACGCUAGCGUCCACCAGGAUGAUGCCCACGGUUGACCAAGCGUCCCUAGAUCAACCAUGGACAUCAACACAACGAACCAUCUCACCGAUGAAAUGGCCAAUAGUACUGACGAGAUGGCCAACAGUAUCAGGGGCAACAUGGAAGCUGUCCUGAUACCGGCUGCCCCGCUGCCUCCACAUGCCUUCAUCACAGCCCUCUGCUUACCGACAUUCUCCUAGCACCUGAGGCAAAACCACACGCAUGGUUCGAGGCCAGAGGUCCCAUCGGGAGGCCUCCAUUCAUCGAAGGAAAGGAAGAAAACCAUCUCCUCUGAAGUGCUAAGAUGGAUGAGAGGAGGAGGACGUCGCUCCCCCUAUUUAUAGCCAACCACAGCUAUGCGCAGAUGAUAGAAGGCCCUUCCCAAAGGCGCGGUCCUCGGGGCGCCCGCAUAUGGAAAAGGCACCCCCUCUUGACUGGCUAGGUGAGAGGAGUAAUUGGACGCGAUGAGACAAGUCAUCCUGAUGGGACGUGGAGUAGAAAACCGUCCUGUCGCAACUCAAUUACAGUAAAAAUAAAGGACACACGCCGGACUGGCAAGAGUGACGAAAGAGGGACCACUAACGGGACACAAUCCUUCCCCGACUUCUACUCCAAGAAGGACUCGGGAGCUACUGACGGGUAUCUAGAUUAGGGAUACCUUAAUCUAUCGACAAAUCCAGAAGAGGGUGAGAUUAGGAAGAAGAUACCGAUUGGGCCGAAAGAAAAAUCAUUGUCAUCAUUGCCCGGCUGGCCGGCGGUGCCCCAGAAGGAGGCUCGGGAACCGAGAUAAACAGGCUGCUAGCCUGGCUCAAGUUACCAAGCAAAGGCCGAGGCGCAACGAUAGGCCAGGCCUACCACAUCCUUAGGGUAUGGCUAGGUCUGUCUGAUAUGACAACCACACCGGUGCUCACGUGAGCCGAGGCAAGGAAAUGCGGACUGGCCAGUCGGGCGCACCGUAUUAUGUGCCUAGGGGGAACAAGAAGGGGAGUCGAUCCUCAGUAGAACACAUACGCAUACACGCACCGUUUGUAACCUCCUACUACAAAGUUGAGCCCUCGAGCACAGGAAUAAAGAACUUGUGCCACGAACUGGACGUAGGGCGGAUCGCCCAAACCAGUAUAAAUCUCCUGUGUCUUGCGAGCUAACCCAUCCAAGGAUUCACGCGGCAAGUCUUCACUAGUUGACGCUACUAAACAUCGACAUAUUCCUCUCUCCUUUUUUUUAACAUUUCACAUUUGUUUUGUCCUAAGUCAAAAUUAUUCAAUUUUGACCAAGUUUAUGGAAAAAUAUAACAAUAUCUAUACUACCAAAUAUAUGCACAAUCGAGAUAUAUACCAUGGUGGAUUCAAUGAAACAAAUUUGGUAUUGUAGAUGUUAAAUAUUUUUUCCUAUAAAUUGGUCAAAGUUGAUAAAUCUGACCUACGACACAGCAACUGUGACUUGUACAAAAACAAAGAUAGUAAUUUGUACAUUCUUUCCUGCUUCCAACCAGAAGAUGACACGGGAUGUGGAUGCAUAUAGCCUCGUAAUCAUGUAAUUCUCAUAAUUACAUAGUUCAGAAAUGUUGUUGUCUCUCCUUUAUAGCACUUCUGAACUUUUCUGGUGGGAGGUUUACCAGACCAAACCUCCACCCUUUUUUCCUCCCAAAGUGGUUGUUACGUUUAAAAAUUAUCGGUAUCUUAUAAAACUUUUGCACUAGCUAAAAAGCAUUGAAAUUGACACAUCACUUAUUACGUUUUAAUUUAAAACUAUGUAAUUAUGAAAAAUCAUCGCUGGAACUCUAAAAAAUUUAUUAUAAAAAUGAUGAAUGAAACAUUUUUGAAAGUGAACGUUUUCAUGUUGCAUUCUAUCUUAGCAUAUUGGAACUAAAGUAGAUGGGGGUAAAGGCACUUGAUAUGCUGAUUUUGAUAUUAGUUGCGAACUUGCGGUUGUAUGGUUCUACAUCUGGUGCAAAGAUUUUUAAAAUGGUGAAAAUUCAUCAUGAAUAUAUACAUUAUUUUUUUGGUAAAAACUUGAAACUUGGCACAUCCAUAGUUCAUGAAUUGAUAUAUUUUGUCGCAAAAUUAUAGGUUCAAUCUCGUUCUGAUUUAAUUUAUACAGAAAUGACAACUUUCGAAUGAAUGUAUAGGCAUAAAAGUUCACAACGGCACGCCGGCACAAUUCGCUACUUGGGCUUCAGUGGACCGAUAGAAUCGAAUGGCCGUUUGUGUGUGUGUAAGAGAGAGAUGCGGAGGCCCAAUGCCGUGUGGGCUGGUGAAAGGAAUUUUUAUUUUAUUUUCAGUUAGUUGUAAAAUUACGAUAACUAAAAAAUAGUUAUAAAAUUACUGCCUCGAGAUCUGGGCAGGGAAGUAAUUUUGUGUUUUUUUCUAGUUUUUUAGUCUUUAUACUAAAUUUACUAAGGGGGUAUUUUUGUAAAAUUUGUGCCUUUCUAUUGAUCUUGGCGUCGUCCUUGUCGUCCUACUAUCUUCUUUUCGUCGUCCGAAGACUGUUUAUAAUAACCAGAUAUGUCAAUAUGUCAUGCUACUGCAGGCCACAAAGUUCAUCUUGCGGGCGGUGAAGGCCCGUCAGCGGCCAUCAGUGGCCCAUCUUAUUUCCUCGCUUCCGGCUCGGUGUGUAUAUAUAAAAAGCACGCUGCGUCCCCACUCUCUGCUCGCUAACCCACCACAAAGACCGAGCUGUGGCUGCUGGCGAGAGUGUUCGCCCAGUCCGUCCGGGUUCGAUCGGAUCUAAGUGGUUUCACUAGGAUAUUUUCCAAGUACGUUCUGAGUUUGCUAGGUAAUACACGCGUGUGUAAGUGAUACUGUAUGUACUCGUGCACUGAAGGUCUAAACCUUCUAAUAUCUUUCAUAAAUAUGUGUAAGGACACGCCCGCGUAUGUGUGCGUGUGGUGUGAGUGUGGAGUGCGUUGGUUGUGUGCGUGCUUGUUGUACCCUCUUUAAAAAAAAUCCACCACACUGUCUGACCCACUGCACGCGCAAGACCAUGUCGACGACAUGCCUGCCCGCCAUCCUGUCCCCGCCGGCGCCGCGCGGCGGCGGCGGCGGCACCCAUGGCUCCGCCCUUCUGGGGCUGGGCGUGACCGCGCCGCCCGCGCGCGUUAAUCACGUACAGGGCCGGGGGAGCGCCAGGAGGACCGGCCGCUGCGACGUGCCGGAGCAGGGCCAGCAUCAGGGGGCUCUUCUUCCAUCUGGAGAUGCUCAAUUCUUCGUGACUCGUGCUUCCGUGACUAUCGAUCCUCUUUUUUCUUUCUUUCUUUCUUUUUUGUUUGAACUAAAUGAUCCAUGUCUCAAAUUUAAACUACACAGUACUUGUGAAUAUAUGUGGUGGAGGGAAAAGAUUGAAACUUGUUAACACGUCGCAUGUGUAGUAAUCGUCUUGUCAUUUUAAUCAGGCGGCUACCGUGUUGCUUGGUGCGGUCGGUCACACGCACAGGAGCAGUGCAUGCAUGUGGCCGCGCACAAAUAUGUGCACAAACGCGUUGCCCAUUUUAGGGAGUAUUCGGUUAGUAAGUCCAACUGGAAGGCGAUCAAAUAUGUAGGCUCGGCGAUAAGAUCAAACAAAAGAAGGUAUAGCGUGCACAUGUAAUUUGUCAGCUGGAAUUUGGAAUGGUGCAGCAGUUCCUCCAUCCAAAAGUGAAAAAAAAAAUCCUGCCUGGAGAGCAGCUACAUACGGGACGGUUACUGACAGGUACGUACAUGGAAGUGUGGAACCUGCCUUGUUUUGUUUUGCAAUGCCAUGGCCAGCGAGGCAAAGCUUCCUUGGACGGGGAGUGCGACUAUUAUCAGUUGGGGCCUUGCGCAUGCAGAUGCAAUUUGUCAGCUUGGAGUGAGGGCAGCAGUUCAUCCUCCAAAAGUUAAAAUUUUGCACGUGUAGAUGCAAUUUGUAGCAAGAAUGAGAAGGGUGGUUAGUAAGCGUUUACGAAAUGAUUGUUGUUGAGUUAGGGAAUGAUGGAGGCAAGAUUCCUUUCGCCCUGUUGGGCCGAAUCCCAGCCAGCUUCUCUUCCUUUAUUUUGUUCCACGCACGAGCCGGCCCACUCAUUCGCAGCCCAGUAGCGAUACAGCCCACGCAGAAAAUUAAGAGCUCGCCGUGGCACACGCAGCAGCGAGCGAUCGAGCUCAGCUGACUAGCCGGCGUGACGGGCCGACCGGUUGAUUUAUUCUAUUCGAUACCUGUCACGUGAUGGCGCCGCGUGCAUGUGUGUCUCAGGCUCUCCCGCAGAACAAGUGGGCCGUCGACGCGCGCGUGCGGCGGACAGGUGCAGCUACCAGAGCAGCCCGCGCCGACGACGACCUGUGCUUCAGACUAGCUAGCUACUACCACACCACGAACAACCACGACCCUCCCUCUCAAAACACACACACACACGAUAACCCUUGCCCACGAAGCACGCUUAUUAGGCUACGUACAUAGGUCAGUUUGGUAGGACUCCAGCUCCUCUGAAAACGGCUCCGGCUCUGACUCCUCUAGUGGAGUGGUUUCUCCGAUUCUAGCUCCUCCUUUUGAAAAAAUAUUUAGCAAAACGGCUCUUCCUGUGGGCCCUCCCCGAGGAGGAGGAGGAGCCACUAUUUUUGGCUCCUCCCCGACAGUAAAAAAGGGCUCCAACUCCGUGGGUGGUUCACUCGCGGAGCCGUUUGCGGCGCUGCUCUUUGGUAGGGCUUCAGCAGAAGCCGCGAUCGGAGCCGGAGCUGGAACCCCACCAAACGAGCCCAUAAUCCAAGCUUACGAAGCACCCUUGUCAGGCUCCAUAUGUAAUCCAAUCCAAUUAGGGAUUCACGACGUCAUCGUGCAUGCAUAUCUUACAUGCAAGCCUCAUGUUUCCGAUCGGAGAGACAGCUAGCUUGUUAGCCUAGAUACCACCGCCGGUACGGUAUCAACAACUAAAAUUACUACCAUCGUGCAAACCUAGCUCACCUUCGUUCUCUGUCUCGGCAAAGAGUCGCCGUCCGUGAUCAAACACCACCGAAUCUUUAUUCAGGUCCUAAACUUUCUUGCACGUCGCCAUCCAUUCUCACCCAACAGGGGCCAGCACGCACGCAGAAUCAAAACCUUCUUUUUUUCUUGAAUGACUGACCCCAAGUGUUCUCACUCGCACGAGCAGAGAUCGUCCCAUGCUUCGACGCGAGAAAAAGUGACAGAGAAAUUGCAUGGACGGAAUCGGCCCGUUUACAGUACAAGCUCUCUGCAGGGAACGGGAUUCCAAAACGGACUUGUCGUGGCCGCACCGGCAAUAACGAGGUCACGCCGGGGCCUGGAUGCAAAAAAAAUUCCUCGCGGAAUAAAAUGGCGCACACACUUCUCUCUGCUCCUGCGAAGACCUCAGGGCCAGGGGGGAGAGGGAAAAAAGAAAUCUAUUUUUUCUUUCUCUGCUCGAUUUCCCCACGGGCCGGAGAGUAACUGAUCCUCUCCUCCUCUUUUCUUUUCUUUUCCUGUCCUUCUCUCGCGUCGCGAAUCCGUCGGUUGGGUUUUCGAAUCGCGCAGCCAGGCGCCCCCGGCGGAAAUCGCCAAAUUCUUGCCCGCCCUUCUCGGAGCUAAGCGAAUCGAGGUAACGCAAUCUCUUCAACCCCUUCUUGAGGAUUUCUGAGGUUUUGGCACUUGCGCGGUUUCGCGACCAAUCCCAGCGCAAUUCCCCUCCUUGGGCGCUCGAUUGAAUCUGGUUCUUAGCUCGAGGUCUUUGUAUCUGGGGGAUUCCGAGUGUCUCACUCUCUCCUAGAGGAGAGGGGGUUCAUCGGGAGAACUCCAUGUGAUCAGGCUAAAAUUCGCGACUGUAUGCUAAGAUGUUACGCAAAUCUCCUUUAUUUCUUGCGCUCUAGAGUAUAGAGAGCCUUUGAUCAAGUAAAGCACUAGUGGAAACUUCUUGUGUGUACACGGUGGUUACUGCUUUAGCAUCCACACGUGGUUAUGUUCAUGCGAAAGAGCUUGGUUUAUUCCCCACAACUAGAGCCUUUUGGGGCUUGUAAUCUUGCUCAGCUCAGGGCUUAGCAAAUGGGAUUGCUCGAAUCAUGCUGUUCUUGUGUUUCAUCACCUCCUUCAACGAUUUGGAGUUUGGGGGUGUGCUUCUCUAGUUUCUUUGUGUUGGUUGUGGAAACCGCGUGCUUGAUGGUUCCCAUUGGUCUCUGAGGGAGCCACGGUGGUUCCCCCACGUCAAGUUUGACAAGUCUGCCUGUUUUUUGUGGUUGGAAAAUCUCUGCUGCAGUUUGCAUAUUGUUAAAGUGAUUUUUUGAGUUAUGAUGGGAAAAGUCCUAAACUUGCUCAGGAAAUAAGUUGUAGCACGUGGAAAACUCUGCAGGGAGUGAGGACAAGGUCAGAGUUUUCGAGCUGUGGUGUCCAUGUGUCACGCAGCACAUUUUUCUGCUGCAUAUUUGCAUACCUGCAUCUGUUAGUGUGUUAUCUGGGAGACUACUUGCUCAUCUCAUUGGCAUGUCACUGAACAUGCGGCAUGGGAAGCUCGAAUCCUUUUCAGUUUCAGUUUUGCAUUUUUCUUCUUUGCUCCAUCCUCAGCUGAUUUAACAUAAAUGGGAGCAGUCAAGUUGAUUUGACUGUCAUGUCAAGUCAUUAUCUCUGAAUGACUGCCCUGAGAACGAGCGGCACUAAUUAUGGAGGAGUCCUUGCCUUUUCUGUAUGCUUAUUUACUCCAUCAUUAAUUGAUUUCACAUAAAUGGAAGCUGGCAUGUAAAUUUGGUUGUCAUGUCAAGUCAUUGUCUCAACAGGCCAGAGAAUGAAUAACUACAGUUCUGAAUCUUAAAACAGUUUAGCUGACUGCAUGACACAUGUUUUCUCUAUUGAAGACGAAGGUCUAACAAGUUACUAAUAUGAAUCUUCUUUACUGAACUUAUGACACUGCAGAAGACUAACUGACUUGCUAGGACCCUAGAGCGUGCCUGAAUUUCUGCUAUCGCUUGUCCUGACUAUCCAACUGAUAAUGGGAUGGGGAAACACCAUAACCAGAAGGCUCAAAGUUUUCUCCAUGGCACUGCUUAUCUACUUUGACUAUAAGGUGUGCUUCUGUUUCUUUUCUCAAUGAUGUUCUUCCAUAGACUAGCCUCUUCCAUUUCCUUGAGACAGAUUAACAUCUUCUUGAUGCAUGAGCAGGCUGUUCAGAAGAGAGUCCAAUGGGUUAGCACUGGUAAAAAGAGUGCUAUAUGGACGAAAACACAUGAGCGAAAUGCUCGCCGUGUCCUCAACCUGAUGAUAGAGUUAGAAGGUUUAUGGGUGAAAAUGGGCCAGUAUUUGUCCACAAGAGCAGAUGUGCUUCCUGAACCCUACAUAAAUGUCCUCAAGCAAUUGCAGGAUUCACUUCCUCCACGCCCUUCCGAAGAGGUAUGCAUACCUGUCCUUGAAUGAGUGGAAGAUUGAUAAUUCUUGUCCGGUCCUGAUAUAAUAUUUUUUUGUACGUUUGCAAUGAUCUAAAUGGCAGCGAUUACUUAUCUUGGUUAUUGUCUCUGUUGUGCAGGUUCGUGGAACGAUAGAGAAAGAACUUGGAAAACCCAUGAGUGAUCUAUUUGCUGAUUUUGUCCUGGACCCUCUUGCGACUGCAUCAGUAAGUACUGUAGUAUCAAAAGUGAACUUAGUUAUCUAACAUAAAUUCAUAGUAUGCUCAUUUAAGUAUUCAAUGAACAUUGGGUAACAGAUAGCACAAGUUCAUCGUGCAACUCUGGCAGAUGGCAGAGAAGUUGUUGUCAAAAUUCAGCAUGAUGGUAUCAAAGAGAUCAUAUUAGAGGUUUACAUCUAACCUGGCAAGUAUGUCUGUGUAGCACAAUUGGAGUUUGUUACAUUUUUAUAUUGGUGGUCAGGAUCUGAAGAACGCAAAAUCAUUGAUUGAAUGGAUAGCGUGGGCAGAACCUCAGUAUAAUUUUAAUCCAAUGAUUGAUGAAUGGUGCAAGGAGGCACCAAAGGAACUUGAUUUCAACCAUGAAGCAGGUAAUUCUCCUUGCUCAGUUUCUUACCCAUACAAUUCUCUGCACAAUUUUCUAUUCUCUCUCUCUCUCUCUCUCUCUCAUGAAGAGGUCAUCUUGAUAAUGUAUGUUACAAAUUCUUUAAUUUUAGAGAACACUAGGACUGUCUCCAGGAAUCUUAGUCGCGAAACUGACUGUGGGAGUGGCAGUAGUUCCAGUGCUGUUGAUGUACUCAUUCCAGAAGUUAUUCAGGUCUAUCUUUCAGUUUCUCUACUGUUUAUCUUUUAUUAAUUUUUGAAAAUCAAGUUACCAUAAUCUGACAAACUGUUAUUCCAUGUGUCAGUCAACUGACAAGGUUCUGAUUUUGGAAUAUAUGGAUGGGAUUCGCUUAAAUGACAAUGAUUCAUUGGAAGCAUAUGGUGUUGAUAAGCAAAAACUUGUUGAAGAGAUAACCCGUGCAUAUGCUCAUCAAAUAUACAUUGAUGGCUUCUUUAACGGUGACCCUCACCCUGGUAAUUACAUGCGUUUUGGGAAGGUUUCUGUCAUCUUUUCCCUUGUAUUCCUUGCACAUUAAUUCAUACUUGCAUGACUUUUUCUUGUCUGUAGGCAAUUUUCUUGUGAGCAAGGAACCUCCACAUAAACCAAUUCUCCUUGACUUUGGGCUCACUAAGCGCAUAUCAAAAUCUAUGAGGCAGGCACUAGCUAAGAUGUUUUUGUCAUGCGCAGAGGUUUGUGAACUUCAAUCCUCUAAGAAAUCCACAGUGAAGAUAGUAUAGUAUAAUAUGCAACAUCUUCCUUGGAGUAGCUGCAGUCUUUUCUUAUUUUAGAUAUAGAACCCCAAAUAAGCAUGUCUUGCUUUCUUUCUUAUCUUUUCUUGUAACAUUGUCUAUCUUUUGUUUACUCAUUCGUGAUGUGGUAAACUGGUAUGACAUGACAUAUUCCCAAGCAAUAAGAGAAACAAAAUGAACUUGGGAAAUAUGUCUCCUAAGCUAGUCAAUUUUUUUUUUGUUAUAAGAGAUCACUUGACUUAUAUUUUGAUGUAUCAACAUCUCAUGAUCAAAGUUUGAAAAAUGGAGUUCUUUGAUUUAUUCUACUUUUGUCAUUUAUUUUGUGGCUUCUCGUACAUUAGUUAAUUGUAUGUAAUUUGCAUAUCUGAGAUGAACAUGCCAAUGUUUAGGGAGAUCAUGUGGCACUGCUGUCAGCAUUUGCAGAAAUGGGGCUUAAACUGCGGGUUGACAUGCCUCAGCAGGCUAUGGAUAUUGCUACAAUAUUCUUUCGCCAGUCAACUACUGCAAGUGAAGCAAAGGUAGUCUGAAGGCUACUGUAUCCAUUCUACAUAAUUUUAUCUAUUUUUUUUCAGCUUUUCAGUAACUUUGGAUAUUUGGAGUAACAGUUUAUUUGUGGUUAUUCAUGCUUAUCAGGAGAACAUAAAGGCACUCAAUGACCAAAGAGAACGAAAUGUCAAAGCUCUUCAAGAAAAGAUGAAAUUGAACAAGAAGGAAGUUCAACGUUUUAAUCCUGUGAGUAGAAAUGCCGCACUCGUAACUUUCCUCAAUUGAUAGAUGAGAGUCACAUGAAAGUCUUCAUGCUUUUAGGUGGAUGCUUUCCCUGGGGAUGCAAUAAUAUUUAUGAGGGUCUUGAAUCUUCUCAGAGGUAUGAGUUUCUUUUGGCUUACUCAUUCCUCUGAGAUAUCCAGUAUCUAAUGUUUUUUUUAAAAAAAAAUCUGCAGGUCUUUCAGCUUCACUAAAUGUUAGGAUAGUUUAUCUAGACAUCAUGAGGCCAUUUGCUGAAUCAACUUUGCUCGGGUGAGAUGCUAUUUAUUUGACAUUAUCAUGCUCGCACCAUAUUCAUAGUAAAAGAUUAUCUCUCUCUUCUUUCUUCCAUUGCUGAUUUAUGCCCUUACUUUGAUCAGGAGUUUGAUGCAUGGACAAAUACCUAACAGUCAGUGGAUUUAUGACUCACCUGCUAACUCUGAUGUGGAGUCUAAACUGAGAAAUUAUCUGCUUGAGUUGGGAAGUGACAAAAUUUUAGGAAUACAAGUAGGAUUCUCCUAUGAAUCAAAUACCUGUACAGUGAUUCUCUACAAAUAUUAUGUGCCUUACAUUUGUUUUUUCACCAGGUCUGCGCAUAUAAAGAUGGAAAGGUCAUAAUAGAUACUGCUGCUGGUAUGUUGGGGAAGUAUGAUCCACGACCUGUUCAACAUGAUUCUCUCUUUCCUGUUUUCUCAGUGACUAAGGGUGUCACUGCUGGGAUGGUACAUUGGCUUGUCAACGAAGGGUGAGUGAUCGAUUCAGUACCAAGUCCCUUUUAACUUUGCAGUGUAAAUAUGCCUGCAUGGCAUUGAUCUACACUAUAUUAUAGAAUUUCUUGUGUGUACAAAUUGUUUCUCAUAUUUAUGUAUAGCACCUAGUUGCAAAUCAUUUUUAUUUGUGUGAACUGUAAGCAUUGUAGCAUUCCACUCUUUCUAAUACCUCAACUGGUCAGAGAAGAAUAUUCCAUCUUUAUACGCUUAGAUGGAAAAUUGCACACUUACAUACUGAAGUACAUGAUGGUCCGCCUGGGAUUUUUUUUUAAAAAAGGUCAAAUGAGCAUUUCUAACCUGUUCCAAAAUGGGCUAAGAACUUUAACUGUGCAUCUAGACAUUUAUUCCACAAGUUGAAGUUGCUCGAGCUAUUUUGUGAUAGCAUACUCCAAUCUUUCAGGAAGUUGAAGUAUGAGGAAACAGUGGCCAACAUAUGGCCAAACUUUGGAACUAACAGCAAGGAGCUAAUAAAGGUACAAAAACUAACUUGUUUCUGUUAUUUGAUGGGACAUGGCAAUUCUUGGCUAAUAGACUAUCUCAUUUGCUCCGUCCUAAUAAAGGUGCAUCAUCUUCUAAAUCAUACAUCCGGUUUGCACAAUGCGCUGGGAGAUGUGGUGAAGAGUGAUCCCAUGUUGGUAUGUGACUGGGAAGAGACACUAAACCAGGUUGCCAAGUGUACACCUGAGACUGAACCUGGUUCAGCACAAAUUUACCAUUACCUAUCCUUUGGUUGGUUGUGUGGGGGAGUCAUAGAGGUAUGUUUCUUCCUGCCAUCACGUAAAUUGAGCCUUGUUUUUUAUGAGAAUUGGACUUUGUUGGUUGUGUAAACAGAUCAUUAUGUACUAAUCUACAAUCGGGUUAAGAGUUAGCUAAAUUUGAAUGUAAACCCACAUCUACUUAUCCUUUUCGGGUCGAAUAGCUUAAUUAUGGGAGUUUAAAAGUCAAUAUAAUGCUCUAACUGAUUUUUUUCAUGAAUCCUGACGCUGGUAUUUGACAAUAAUAGCAUGCAUCUGGGAAGAAGUUUCAAGAGGUUCUAGAAGAGGCUAUUGUUCGUCCUCUUCACAUUGAAGGGGAGCUAUAUAUUGGCAUUCCACCAGGUAUGUUACAGAUCUCCUAUGAAUCAGUGCUUAGAUUGUUUCCAAGAACUCUACCCAAUUAGAUUUUUUUAACACUGUACCAGAUCUGCUGCUUACUGUUUCGUGAUAAGGAAUGUAGCUUUCCCUUGAUUUUUUUACGUCGUGUGCUUAAGGAGUAAGAAUAAAAGAACCAUCAAUGUCUUGGAUUGGGUGUGUCGGGGUGUGUAUUCAAUGGGGGAAAUACUUUCAGUCAAGCUGUGAGUGCAGGAGAAACUGCACUGCAUUUGUAAUGGCACUACAUUGGGGGUAUUUAUUUAUAAAAUGUGAUCAAUGGAGUUUUGGACUUAACUGCUACAAUGUUAUCCCUUCAUGCUCCAAGACCAAUAGUCAUUUUCUGCAAGUACCUACUAUUGGUAUGUUUUUGUAUCAUUUAUUUAAUAUUGGAUGCUUAUUUUGGCAAUUUACAUUAAAAAAAGGUAUUAAAUCUUUUUCUUUGUCUUUCAAACUCCAGGAGGGAAUAUUUGCUCUUUUAGAUGUGUCUGCUAAGAUUUGAUUAGACUAAUGAAAAUCGUAAUCUAGUCAUGUUUAUACUCUUCUAGUCUUCUAGAUACCCUCUGUCUGAUGUUCAUUACAUUCUGUCCCUUCUCAGGUGUUGAAUCUCGUCUGGCAACCUUGACAGUUGACACUGAAGAACUUCAGAAGUUAUCAGGAAUCAGGGCAGGGCCAGGUGUUCCACCAGAAUUGCUGAGCAAUAUUGCGCAAAUGGCGUCUGGUGUACCAGUUCUUUUCAACACGUUAAAUGUUCGUCGGGCCAUUAUUCCUGCUGCGAAUGGCCACUGCUCUGCUCGAGCACUUGCUCGAUACUAUGCAGCGCUUGCAACUGGUGGUUCAAUUCCACCACCGCACUCUGCGGACUCCAAUCCACCCCUUGGCAGCCAUGUGCACACCCCCAAGUUCCCUACCGCCCCACUCAAGAAGAAAAAAGGCGCUGGAAAGAAGGGUGUCGGUUCCACAGGAAAUCUCCAAGAUGUGAGCAACACUGACAAGAAUGGGUACAGCCAGCUACGCACCAGUGACGCUAACGACGAAGCAGCAGCAGGAAGCGGCGGCAGGAUCUUCAGCAGUGACAAGAUCCUGGACGCGUUCAUGGGUGUCGGUGAAUACCAGAGCAUGGUACACCCAAAUGGCAAGUUCGGGCUCGGGUUCAGGAGGUACAACAACCCCAGCGGCACGCUGAGGUGCUUUGGGCACUCCGGGAUGGGCGGGUCCACCGGGUUUUGUGAUGUGGAGAACAACUUUGCCAUGGCGGUGAUGGUGAACAAGAUGUCCCUGGGAAGCGUCACUCGCGGCAUUGUCCGGUUCAUCUUGGAGGAGCUGGGUCUGCCUGUGCCCGACGAGUUCUCAACAUCAGGGGAGAAGGGACCUGACAUGGUGCUUAAUCUUGCACCACCUCAGCAACAGAGAUGACGAUGACGACGAAGCCAGCUGGUUUGACUGUUAACGCUGUAACUGUCGUUGCAAAACUUACCAGUUUGGUAGCUUCUGUUGUGACACAAGAUUGAAUAGGAAGCGGGAAAAACUACAGGAUUUUUUCGUGGUAUAUAUUAUACACACGCCAUUUUGAAUUUGAGGUGGCAUGUAAAACUCCACGGACUGUUUUAUUCGGCAGAAUCUACAGUGUAAAGAAAGUUUACGUUCAAAGAAAAUGGCGAGCUGGUAUGGUGAUUACAGAUUUUUUUUUUAAGAACUGCACAAUUUACAGUUUACAAGCUGAGGGUGAGAAUUGGGAAUGUGCCCAUCAGUUCCCAGAGACCAGUACAAGAAAAUCACAUGGUAAUUCUGCUUUCUGUGUGCGUUUAGCUCCUCGCUGUACCGUGCUUUUUCUCAAUGCUAUUAUCUUGUUUUGGCUCCAUGAUCGAAUUUUGUUGUUACUCUCGAAUGACAUACUCCGAAUAAGUGCAGCGAACUUCAAACUAUAGCCUUUUGAAACAUUGGUAUGUUUCUCACGUUAGCUUACGGUUGUUUUAAACGGAUAUAGCCAAAUGAAACGGCUAUAAGUUCUUUGGAUUUUUUUUCAUUGCACCAACUGAAAUGGUGUUUUUUAUUGAUAUGGAAAAUAAAAAUGAUAUAAUUUAUAUUUGUACAUUUGAUAGCCGUCCAUACGAAAAACUUGGUUGAUUUUGACAUAUACUGACUAUUCUAUACAUGAAACUUCUUGCACGUGAAACAACGAAAAUUCACACAGUAUUUUUGGAAAAUUUCAGAUCUUACGCAUUGAAGUCAAUUAAACAUUAAAAUAGAUAUAGCAGUUCCGACAGUCAACUACUUAAACAUUAAACAAGAGUAGCACAUAAUCGACCUUUUUUUUUCUAUCAAACUAUAGUCAAAUGUACAAAUAGAACUUAUACCAUUUUUUUUUAAAUUAAUAAAAAACCACCAUUUUAAAUGGCAGAAUGAAAAAAAUUCCAAAGACCUUGUAGCCGUUUCAUUUGGCUAUAAAGCCUAUAGCUAUUUCAAAUGGCGGUAAGCUGACAUGGCAACCAGUUCAUGUUAGCUUACCGCCAUUUCAAACGGCUAUGAUCAUAUGAAAUGAAAUGAUUAUAUAGGUACAAAUUUGCAAAUUUUUUCUCUCAGAGUGGAAGGAGGGUUAGUAGGGACAGCCCACACAAGCUAGAGGUGCACCAAAGGCCAGGCCCAAGGCCCAUCUCAUCACACACGUGGGCUCUCGAUCCUCUCAAAAAAAACGUGGGCCUCUCGAUCUCUCCUCUCGUCGGUAGAGUCCACUCCAGUCUCGGCCUGUGCGCGCCCUGCUUCCUGAAAAGGAACCCCAAAGUCAGUGAUAUUUACAUGCCGUUGCCAUGCAGUUUUUAGAAUGAAAACGGUCGGAAGCGGUCAGGGAAAACACCUUGACCACUCUUGCUGCUAUAUAUUUUUUAGUCGGAAAUGGAAAAGUCGGAUGGGAAAAUAAAAUCGAUAUUACGGGAUAUCUGGAACGGAGCAUUUCGAUCAGGAGCAUGUCGAUUAUGAUGUAACUCUAAUCGCCAAGCCAACACAUGUAACAACAUUUAGUUCGACAUAAUAGUUACAACCUACCGUAUGCAAAUGAUACAUAAGUAAGUCUGUUAGCUGUUAGAUUAGCAAUGUGAGAAAAAACAACUGACGGUGCUGGCGCUGCUCCUAUACUAUGGGCCUGCUCACGUUCUUUAUUUUCUUUUUACGCAGCCCAUAUAGCCCGCUUACGAGAGAGAGAUGGCAAAUCUCCAUCUGUUCUCUAGGCACAAACAUAGCAGCCUUAUCCUUCUCCUCUCCAUUGCUGCACAGCUGCGGGCGUGCGGGCAUACUGGCGAAGUGGCGAGAUUGGGCAGGCGCAGAGAAGGUGCGUUGACCAGGGGGAGGAGGUGCGGUGUGUUGGUGAGAUGCAGCGGAGGGACACGGGCCCUGCGGUGACCGGCGAUGGGAGCUCGGCGGCGUAAGACCUGCUCUCUCGUAGCGAGCCUGAGCGGCAUCGGGCGAGCACCAGAUGAAGUGCUUGGCCGGCGUGGUCAAGCUUUAGCAAGCUGGUGCGAGUAGCGGAUGGGGAUCCUUCUGCAGCUAGUCUGAGGAGCAAGGAGAUUGGGCGUGGGAGGCGGGAGGCGGGAGGCAGUCGCAAAGGUUAGUCAGGAAAAAUCCGGUUAAAAAACAGGAAAUUCCCGAUAAAAAAAUGGGAACCGACAAUUCGGCCGGAAAACCUUCCAACCGAUCCCGAUCCCGAUUUCGUCAGAUUUUCUCGGAUUUUUUCCCGAUUUCGAAUUUUCCUGUAAACACGGUAUUCGAUCCGUAUACACGGGAUGCGGUAUCGGUCGGUUCGGGAUUUUCCCGUCCCUACUUUCAUCCCUAUCAGUUUUCCUUUUGGACUUUUGGUUUCCCCACCGGCCCCAUUGGCCAUCGGCGACUGAUUUGAUUGGCCCACUUCAAUUCUAACCGUCUCUCGUUGACAGCCGCGAUCCUUCGAAAGCUUCGAGGCCGACGAGCCCCACCACCACCACCGCACAAGAGAGAGAGAGAGAGGAGCGGUUUGCCCGCCCGUGAACCGUCUCCGUCUCCGUCUCCGCGGGAGGCGACGCAACUGACGCCGACGCCGCCGUCCCGUUCCGCUCCUCCUCGCCGCGCGAUGGCCUCGGGCGCCGACGCGGCGGCCGCCGGGGUCGCGGCGCUCGGGAUCUCCGGCGGCGAAUGGGCGGCCGCGUGCCCACCGCUGCGGCGGAACCUGCAGCUGCUCGCGCCCGACGAGGUGAUUUGCUGGUCUCUUCUGUUGUUGAUUUGCUGAUGCUUGGAUGCGGUGCCGAAUCGCGCUGAUCUUCUUCGCUGCAAGUUCAAAAAAUUCCGGUUCCGUGAUUGAUUGCUCCUGCUGUGGAGGCACAGGCGUUUGGUUGAUUUGCUUGUUAGUUAUCCUCCCAUGCCGUGUCUGACGGUAAAGCAUCGGAGUUUAGGCGUGGCGUGGUACGGCCAACUACCUCGAAUCGUGGUGGUUUUCAGUCACCUCACGUGGUGGCGGUGGGCGGUAGGGGCGAGUUGACCCACUCCGUGGUUGCAAUUUAACAGCUUGUUCUUGAUAGUACAGCAACUCUCCUGGGUGUUCGAGAAAGAAAAAAAGAAAAAUAGGCUUCCUGAGCUUUUCAUGAUGGUGAUGGCUGUUUCCUAAAAAGUGGUACCAAUAGUUGUAUGUUUAACCACCCUCUUCUCCUGCCACAGGCCCACAUUGGGACUGGGGGAGCAUGGUUCUUUGAUUCAUUUGGAUGCUUAAUCAUACUGUGCUCGAGGAUUAAAUUCCUGGAGUAAAAAAUGAUAUAAAUAUAUGAAUUUUUUUGGGUGGAUUGUUAUGCUUAGUCUUAGUUUUGAGCAGUGUUUUUUUGUUAUUAUGUACCUUGCUGUGAAAAAUUUUAGUUUUACUGCACCUUUUACGUGUCCAGCAAAGUGGUCCUCAACUGAUGUACAUCUUAACUCGUCCCCAUCAAGAAUCAUGAAAGUACCUGUAGGACCUAGGUUGGCUGAAUAAUUAUGCACCAUUAUUUCAGAAUAAAGUACAUCCUAAUGUAUUCGCCUCUGUGGUGCGCAAGACUCUCUUAAUUUGAUUCGAUUGAUGGAUCAAAGCACCGUGCUUUAUUUUUCUCCUUGCAUGAUGGUUAUUGCCUGGUGAUUCUAGGUUGAACUUGCAAAAAUGCUGUUGAAUGAGGGCCAGAUGCACCUGUUUGAACACUGGCCAGAACCAGGUGUUGAUGAUGACAAGAAAAGAGGCUUCUUUGAUCAGGUGUGUAUUCAUAUAGAGGACAUGUAGCAGCACUAAUAUUACAUCACCACAGAGUUGUUCCAUGCUUAUUGAUCCAACAAAAAAAAGCACAGUGUACCAAUAGUAUCUGGCGAGAAUUGUGAAAUGAGAAUUGUGAAAUGUCGUAUUACCCAUGAACUACUCUUUUCAGUAGUACAGUCAAGUACAAUGUCAUCUUCCCUUUCUAUGCAUAUAUUUGUACAUUUUAUAGCACUAUAAUCUAUGCCCUGAAGUCAUAAUCAGAAAUAUACUUUUUCCCCUAUAUUCUGAAAGUUUGAUUAUCUUAGGUUCGUCGACUUAAUUCAAGCUAUCCUGGAGGGCUGGUAUCGUACAUCCAGAAUGCCAAAAAACUUUUGGCAGAUUCAAAAGCAGGCAAAAACCCAUAUGAUGGUUUUACUCCUUCUGUAAGUCGUCUUAUAUCCAUUUUGCCGAUAGAUUAACUUGGCCCUAAUAUCUUUUCUUUUCAUGGGUUUGUUCUGGAAACACUUAAGUUGAGCAUCAUGAACUCUAAAUUGUUCAAAUUGAAUAACUUAACACAUCACAACAUCACAAUUGUUCCCAAGGAUAAAUGUUAGUUUGAUAUAUUCUUUACCUUUUAUUUUCUUGGUGUCGUAGUUAAUAAAUUUUGCUAUAUCAUACUUCAGGUUCCGUCAGGGGAGGUAUUGAACUUUGGCGAUGACAACUAUGUUUCAUUGGAAGCAGCUGGGGUAAAAGAAGCACGGAAUGCUGUGUUUGUUCUUGUAGCUGGAGGGCUUGGUGAAAGACUUGGCUAUAAAGGAAUUAAGGUAUGUGCUGAGCUGCUAAUAGCAAACUUAAUACCUAAUCAUGGAAAAGGCCAACAUCUAGACUGGAUUCUUUCUCAAUGCAGUUAUGUCAUGAGGUAGCACAGUAGCUAGCUCACUUUGUUUGGAACUCAAGCUAUAUUUUGUAUUUUUUUCUUUAAUUUGGUUUAAAAUUUUCUUUAGUUGAUAAUAGCACAAUAGCACAUUAUCCUACACUGUUUUUUUAGAACAACAUUGGCCACAACCUUGUUCCAUUAUUUCCAUUGAAAAACAAGAUGCAUACAGUUGAGUUUCAUCUCCUAACUUUAGACUGCAAGCACCACCUGGUGGCCUGCACAGUCUUUUACUGAAAAAUAGUAAGAAAGCUUGAUGAAUUGGUGGUAAUGUAUUUGUCAUGGUUCAAAGAUUUUACUCUAUGAUUUUGGUCAGGUAGCACUUCCCCGGGAAACGACUACUGGAAAGUGUUUCCUUCAACAUUACAUAGAGUCUAUUCUGUCUUUACAAGAGGCCAGCUGCGAAAUGGUUGAUGGUAUGUACUCUUCACUGUAUCUAUAAUGGAUUAAUGACUUGCCAACAUUGUCUCUAUAGUGCCUAUCAUUUUUUAAUAGUUCUCACGAAUUUAAUUUUGAUCUUAGCAUUAAGUGUCUUGUUUUCAUCGUUUAUACUUAUGCCCCUUCUGUACAAGAGAUCUGACAAUCACUUGAAUUAGUUUGCUAGUUUCAUUACUUACACAUGAUACAUGGUGGGUCUCAGAGAAGCUUCAGGUCUUGUUUAAUUCUUAUUGAUGUUGUUCGUUGCCAUGCAGCAGGGUGUCAUACAAAGAUUCCAUUUGUUAUUAUGACUUCUGAUGAUACAAAUGCACUAACCAUCAAGCUUUUGGAGUCGAACUCCUACUUCGGAAUGGAACCAUCUCAAGUGAAAAUACUAAAGCAGGUUUUUUCUAUUUCCCUAUUCUUUUCAUGUGCUUGUUAGGAGAAAACCUCUGUUCUAUCUAUGCAAAGCACAUAUCAGUUACUUCUGGUGUUGAUCGUACAUGUUCAUUUUAUUUUUCAGGAAAAAGUAGCAUGUCUAGCUGAUAAUGAUGCAAGGCUUGCAUUAGACCCAAAUGAUAAGUACAAAAUUCAGGUAGAAAAAUUUCAUAUGAGGAUCAAUAACAUUGUAUUUAAAAUAGACUAACUAUAUUGUUUCUGCAUACACUGAGUGUCUAUCCACGUUUCUUACUCUCAAUUUUGUGACCUGACAGACAAAGCCACAUGGGCAUGGAGAUGUUCAUUCUCUUCUCUAUUCAAGUGGCUUGCUUGAACAAUGGUAUGCUUAUUGAUUCAAGAAUUUGCCACCGGGGCAGUUUUUUUUCUCUACUUGAAGAAAUUAGCAGUUAUAUAUAAUGAAUAAUUUACUGAAAUGAUAUUGUGUAUUUUUUUGAUAGGAAGAGUGAAGGGCGGAAGUGGGUUCUCUUUUUCCAGGAUACAAAUGGGUUGCUUUUCAAUGUUUGUACUCUGGCCUCCUACUGUACUAUAAUUUACUGCCAAAAGAUAGAAAAUUUUUAACAUCCUUAAAAAUCUGCCAAGAGAUAUCAAAAUUGUAAACCGAAUCUGGUACCGUUCCGGUUUUUACUACUUUGGUACCAAACAAAUAGGCACAUGCCCAUAUGUAAAUUAAGCUACCUCUUCGUAUUUUCCAAGGACUCUUAAAACCUCUAAUAAAGAUGAAACUGCUUCCAUGAGAUAAAAGGGACCUUUGGCUACAGAGAACUGACAUGAUUUUUUUUUAAUUUUGUAGGCAAUACCAUCAGCAUUAGGUGUCAGUGCCACUAAGGGUUACAAUGUAAAUUCUCUCGCAGUUCCUAGGAAGGCAAAAGAAGCAAUUGGAGGAAUUACCAAACUUACUCAUGUUGAUGGUAGGUUUUACUAUCAUUUACCCCAUUGAUGCAAGUUGUUCUGAAAGCAAGAAAUCUAUCAUUUGUCAUAUUUUGAAAAAAAAUUAUGUAAUCAAUCUUUCAGUUUUUAGUAAGUUUGUACUAUGAAAAUCAAGAAAAAUAUUCUUUUGUUCAAAAAGAUUUUAAAGAGUCAUUUCUCGACUGUUCUAUACUGACAUUUCAAUUGGCUGGUUGCAUCUAAUUGAUUUGUUUUGUCAAUUGGUCACAACUGCAUUAUUGUGCACAGGUAGAACAAUGGUCAUCAAUGUAGAGUACAAUCAGCUUGAUCCACUCCUUCGUGCAACUGGACAUCCUGAUGGAGAUGCAAAUUGUGAGACAGGCUAUUCUCCAUAUCCUGGAAAUAUAAACCAGGUAAACUAUACAUAUUCCAAAGGGACAAAUUUAACUUCACUAGUUCAACACUUCAAAAGAUCCUUGGACUCUUGCCAAAUGCCAUGAACACAAUUCUUAGGAUGGCUUGUCUUAUUACAUUUCCCUUUUGGAUGAUGGCAAACCAUCUAUUAAUAUAUUGUCCUUCUCUUAUGAUUUGGAGACACAUGUAAUGCUAACACCAAUAUGAAUUAAUGUGGAUGCUGUUAUCGUCAAUGUCACAUAGUCAUUAUGCUGUAUAUGUUUAUUUUCUUUAUUGCUUUUAGAACUGAGCAAAACUUUGUCAACAUUAUUAUUUUUUACUAAGAAAAAAUGCAUGUUUUGUUGUACUAAGAGAAAUACUAAACUUUUGCAGCUGAUACUGGAGCUUGGACCAUACAUUGAGGAGCUCAAGAAAACACAUGGUGCCAUUUCUGAAUUUGUAAAUCCCAAGUAAUUUGUCUGAUCCUGUUCUCUUAAUUACUUCUAUUUACAGUGAUAUUGCCAAGUUCUAUCUUGAUUUUGCGUAUAGGUUCUCAAUAUGAAUUUUGGUCCUUUGUUUAACCCCAACCUCUGAUCAUUUUUGUCAAUUUAGGUAUACUGAUUCGACCAAAACGGCAUUUAAAUCCUCCACUCGUCUAGAAUGCAUGAUGCAAGACUAUCCAAAAACACUGCCUCCAUCAGCAAAAGUUGGAUUCACGGUAAGAGGCAGCUGAUCAUCUGUUGAGCCUUGAGCACGUCAGCUAACCAUUUCUAUCAGUUGUACCAUGUGGAUAGGUAUCCUGAGUACAAAGAAUGCGCUGCAUUCCUGCUCUCAGUUUUUUUCUACUCGAUAUAGCCAAGGUCCCCUGAUCUUGCUGCAUUACCAAUGUAGUGAGUGUACAUGAUAAAAAAAAAGAUUGCAUUAGGAAUUUAAUAGAUUCGUUGCAGUGCCUUAACUCUCCAAUGAAUAAUUAAUGGACACAGUCAGAAAAGAGAACUUAUAUUGGAAGUAGUUAUCCACUUAUCCUCACAUAAUGUACACUUUUGAAAAGGCAGUCUGCUUUCAGUGUUCUGUUAGGAAUUCUAAGUGCCACUCUACCUUUCAGGGAAUAGGAAAAAAUACUCCAAUCUCAGGAGAGUGGUGGUAAUCUAAUGCUGUUUUUGUUUCUCUAGGAACUAGGAAGAACAUCACUAAAUUGAAUCUUAGACACUAUGUUCCUUACAUGUGUUAUUAUUUCUUACCUCUAAGAUCAUUAGCAAUUCAUGUUAUUAAGUGUUAUUUAACUUUUGCUGCAAAUGAUUUUUCAUGGUUCGUCCCCUAACUGUUUUAUUAUUAUUCUGCCUUUAUUUACUUAAAUUCUAGGUGAUGGAUACAUGGCUUGCUUAUGCUCCUGUGAAGAAUAAUCCUGAAGAUGCAGCUAAAGUAAGAUUUGAACUCUUUCUAAGAUUAGUGUUUUUAUUCUACAUUAUUAGUUUACCAUCGGUUGUGAAGUACUUUUGCCAAGGUGCUUAUUUGAACUUGGUCUGUUAAUUGUUAAAUUUGAUUAUUGUUUUUUAUUCUACAUUGUUAGUUAUUUUUACCAUUGGUUGUGAAGUACUUUUGCCAAGGCUUCUGUCUGUUAAUUGUUAAAUUUGAUUUUCCCCCCCUGUUGUUGAGGUUAGUUUUAAUUACACUUUGUCUAUUCACCUUUGUCAAUUCCAUCUAUAUUUGUUUGCGUAUUUGAUGUUGUGGUAAACUGGGACUAUGCAUCAGUCUUUGCCAUGUUUCUCUUGCUUUGAAGCAGUUGUCUUUUUCCAGCAUCUUGCGUGCAUGGGUGUUUAUAAAUUUUAUAAUUUUAUAUACCUUCUUGCAGGUUCCGAAAGGCAAUCCUUAUCAUAGUGCAACCUCAGGAGAGAUGGCAAUUUACAGGGCAAACAGCCUUAUUUUGAGAAAGGUGAUGCCAUUAGCAUAUUCCUUUGGUGGGGCACGCUAUCCAAUGGCAAUGGGCUAGUUCUCAAGUUGUUUGUGCUCCAGCUCACCGUGAUCCUUUCCCUCCCUUUCCAGGCUGGUGCACAGAUUGCUGACCCUGUAGUUGACACCUUCAAUGGGCAAGAGGUAGAGGUUUGGCCACGAAUAACCUGGAGUCCACGGUGGGGUCUUACCUUCAAGGAUGUCAAGGAGAAAGUGCGUGGCAACUCUUCCAUUUCUCAGAGGUCAGCUUUGGUCAUCAAUGGUCGGAACAUCUUCCUUGAAGGCCUUUCGUUGGAUGGCACUCUUAUUGUCAAUGCUGUCGAUGAAGCUGAGGUAUUAACAUUAUUGAGCAUCUUUAACUCAAGAGACCUGGGCAUAAUUCAAGUGUCACAGUUUCGCUAUUACCCUAACAACGAAAUAUUUUGCUCGUAUGUCAUCACUUCAUGCCGGUUUGCAGGUUAUAGUUACUGGUCAUGUACAUAAUAAAGGCUGGACUAUCCAGCACGUCGACUACAAGGACACCUCCGAGAAGGAAGAGAUCAGAAUCCGCGGAUUUAAGUUUGAGAAGGUUGAACAGCUAGAGGUGAACUACACCGAGCCAGGAAAGCAUUCCUUGAGUGCAUGAACAACACGUCCCUUGAUUGCCUGAUCGACCUGACCAGCUUCCAACCAGUUGGAAAUAGUUCACGUCACGAUUGCCUCCCAGAUUUUGGGAGGCCAUUAGCUUAUCUGAAAGUGUUCUUGUCCUUCUAAAGUACAAAUAAGGAGCAAAGCGCUUCACCAAUCACUCGCCAUUCUUAAUGUGCAUCUGUAGUUGUACAGUACCCUCGUUCAUAGCCAACCAUUUUACGCCUUUUCUUUUGUAAUCAAAGUUGAUUAUUUGUAUUGGAUCUGAUGUUGGUGUAAUAAUUUAUAAUGAAUUAAGACUUCGCGCGGAAUCAAGCAAGUGCGUGUUAUAUGUUGCAUCUUUUUGUAUGUUAUAUGCCAUGGCAGGGAUUAGUGAAUAUCCUGGUGCUCCAGCAUUUGUCAAUCAGAUCAUUUCAUCAGAAAAAAGAACAGCUGAUGAGUCUUUUGCAUCCAAUGGCUGUGUCACCACGAAUCUUUUGCAACCUUUUGUGACAUACUUUUUGCUCUUUUAUUUAAUUGCCCGUUGCAUGCUGAGUGAACACAUGUCGUCCUUUCCACAUGGAAAGGAAUAUGUGGUGACUGGUGCAGCUGAUGAGAUGCCGUGGCCGAAAGAGACUAAAUCUGGGCCACCAUUAUCGCUAUAAAAGAUUAGGAAAAGUCUCUGAACAAUGGCUUUUUCCCAGAUUUGGAGUUGCUUAAAGCACUUCUCUUAUAAAUCUUCAAGCCCGUACAGCCGUCGUAUCACCCAAAAAUAAAGUCUACUUACAUGAAGAAGAAUAUCUUGAGACUUUUUUUUGUGGCUCUACAAUUUUGUUAACAAAGAUAUCCACUGCAACUGCACCUCACAUCAUGUGCACGCACAUCUCAAAAAUCAAACUACUAUUUUUCAUUAAGAAAUUGAUUUCUUUUUUUGGGAUGUGUGGUGCACAUCAUAUGUGAGGAAAUAGAAUUGUCUUCCGACAGCCUGUUUUUUUUGAACAAAAUCAGGUCACACCAGUUCGAUUACAGCCUGUUUUUUGUUGUAGGGUAGCAAAAGAAUCCAAAAAAUAGAAAAAGAAAAAUCAAGAAGAACAACACGAGCCCAGGCCCUGGAGAGCCCAGCAACGGCCCACGGAGGGCAGAAACCCUACCGGGUGGCGUCCGAGUCCCAGCGCACCACGCCUCCUCACGUAGACACCCUUAAAAGCCGCCUCUCGCCGCCGCACCCAAACCCUCGUUUUUCUCUCUCCUGCGCCGCGCCGUCCCCUCGCCUCCGCCGCCGAAUCCGAGACUCCGAUCUCGGGUUCAACGCAGCGCACCAAAGCAACCCCGGCGACCGGCCCGAUCAGCUCUCCUCUCCGCGCGUCAGGUGGUCGCCUCCCCAGAUCUCCCCGCCUCGUUCCGUUUGUCUCGCUCGUUUUGUGUUGUGCCUCGCUUCGAUCUGGUCGGGUGGCGCUUUCCGCGCGGUCCUGGGCCGAUCUGGCGGCUCUAGGCUUGGAUCUGCGUCGAUUCGGUGGAAAGUUUAGUGUUUAUAGUGGUUAUGGAUUGAGAGAUAGUUUUGCCAGUAUUACCUUUGUCGGAUGCGCGGCUUUUCAGCUCGAUAGAUGAUUUGUUAUGCAGGAUUUGAUUUUCUUCAAAAAAUAAUGUGUUUCAGGUGCCAACACGUAAAUUUGUUAGUUGUGGCUUUAAAAACUCUGCAGUCUUCCGUAUGCAGCUCGUGGUAGCUUGGUUGUAGCUAUGUUUUGCCAUUGAGCGAAUCGUGCUAUGCUUGUGAUAUUGGUAUCACGCUGUCUGAAUUAGGGGAAUGCUUGAUACUUAAUGAGAUUUUAUUAUGUAGUGAUGGGCGACUUUCUGUUAAAAGGAGGAUGAAGUGGCAACAUGGAUUUGUUACAGGGUAGAGUAACAGAUAGUGUUAUGCCAUGUAUGAGAUGAGCGAGUGAUUGUUCUAAUAUUGUCUGAACUUCAAACCUUUACUUUUGAUUUGUCAGACUAGUCUAGGCAAUUAUAUCAGUCUGCUGUUAUGUAUGCUUAGACUUAGAUUGAAAUGAAUCAGUUGUCCUAGUUUGUGAGCAGUUGAGAAUGCAUUUUGUCUCAAUUUUGGAGCUUGGAUGACUUCUGUUUUGAUGCCUGAUCUUUUCUAGGGUGCAACUGUUUACCUGUUCACUCUUGCAAAUUAACGGUCACUUGACUUCUAGCCUGUUCCUUGUCUCAACUCAAAUAGUUUUCUUUGGUCCACAAACAUAUUUUUUGUGGUAGACUCUGUGCAAGUUUGUUAGAAGCUGUGUUUGCUAUGCUAUUCAUUCUUUGAUCUAGGUUGAGGAUUAGAUUUUUUUGUAUUUCCUUCACAUCUGCCACAUGUACUGUACAUUUUGUGUCUUAACAUGUUGUUUUGUUUGCUACAGUCAUGGCGGGAAUGGCACCUGAGGGUUCCCAGUUCGAUGCUAAGCACUAUGAUUCUAAAAUGCAGGAGCUGCUGUAAGUAAUAUAUUGCUUUUUUUUGUUGUUCAACCUUACCUAUUUUCAUCAUCUGUGAGUCUGAGUUCCAAGCCUACCUCUUUCAUGUAAUACAGGAGCACUGGUGAGACUGAGGAAUUCUUCACCUCAUAUGAUGAGGUUUUUGAGAGCUUCGAUGACAUGGGCCUCCAAGAGAACCUUCUGAGAGGCAUUUAUGCUUAUGGUAGGAUGGAGGCCUAUUUUGUUUUAGGUUGUUUACCGUAGGUGGUAAUCCUCUUACAAGGUCAUUCUUUGUUGUGUAGGUUUUGAGAAGCCUUCAGCAAUUCAGCAGAGAGGAAUUGUACCUUUCUGCAAGGGCCUUGAUGUCAUUCAGCAAGCACAAUCAGGUACAGGAAAGACAGCAACUUUCUGUUCUGGGAUCUUGCAGCAGCUCGACUAUGGCCUGGUUGAAUGCCAGGCCUUGGUCCUUGCACCCACCCGUGAGCUUGCACAGCAGAUUGAGAAAGUCAUGCGCGCGCUUGGUGACUACCUGGGUGUGAAAGUUCAUGCAUGUGUGGGUGGAACUUCAGUCCGUGAGGACCAAAGGAUUCUUGCUAGCGGCGUGCAUGUUGUUGUUGGGACACCUGGACGUGUGUUUGACAUGUUGCGUAGGCAGUCUCUCCGUCCUGAUCACAUCAAGAUGUUUGUCCUGGAUGAAGCUGAUGAGAUGCUUUCUCGUGGUUUCAAGGAUCAGGUAAACUGUUUGUUCUUUUCUAUUUAGUUCUCUAAUUCUUAUUCUUUACUAAUUUUUUUGGUUGUAUAUACCUUUUGUAAUCUUAAAGCAUGCUUGAGUAUCUUUAAUGACUGGUUUGCUUGGUUGAAGAAAUGAAGGUGUUUGUUGCAUUUUCAUGGAUGUCAAAGUUUUGUUCACUACUGACUGCAUGUAGUUUGCUAUUCAAUUACAAUUGCAGUAUUAUCUUUGGAUGUUCUAGGCUACAAGACAUGCUUCAGAUGGCUAAUCUUGUGCCAACUAAGUUGCAUAAAAAAUUAUUUCUUUGCCCUGUGCUUAUUAUGAUAUUCUAACUGAAACUGAAACAUUCUAAAAGAAUGAGUGUCAUAAUUUUUUUUUGAUUUAUGCCUCAACCAAAAUCAGUAAUUCAUGGUGUGGUAUCCUGUCUUUGUUAAAUGCAGAUUUAUGACAUCUUCCAGCUUCUCCCAUCCAAGAUUCAGGUUGGAGUCUUCUCUGCUACCAUGCCCCCAGAGGCUCUUGAGAUUACCCGCAAGUUCAUGAACAAACCUGUGAGAAUCCUUGUGAAGAGAGAUGAGCUCACCCUUGAGGGUAUCAAGCAGUUCUAUGUGAAUGUGGAGAAGGAAGACUGGAAGCUGGACACACUAUGUGACCUGUACGAGACCCUUGCCAUCACCCAGAGUGUCAUCUUUGUCAACACCCGCCGCAAGGUGGACUGGCUCACUGACAAGAUGAGGAGCAGGGACCACACUGUUUCUGCCACUCACGGUGACAUGGAUCAGAACACUAGGGACAUCAUCAUGAGGGAGUUCAGGUCUGGUUCAUCCCGUGUGCUCAUCACCACCGACCUGCUUGCCCGUGGUAUCGAUGUUCAGCAGGUGUCCUUGGUCAUCAACUACGAUCUCCCCACCCAGCCUGAGAACUACCUGCAUCGCAUUGGUCGUAGUGGUCGUUUCGGUAGGAAGGGUGUUGCCAUCAACUUUGUGACCCGUGAUGAUGAGAGGAUGCUGUUUGACAUACAGAGGUUCUACAACGUGGUGAUUGAGGAGCUGCCUGCCAACGUCGCUGACCUUCUGUGAUCAAGUUGAAGAAAAAACAAAACAGAACAAAAAAAAAGUGGUAAGGGGACCUGAUAAGGCUUGUUUUUGUUGAAAUAUCGCCAUAUGU
rnacentral:lncRNA from 1 species